rnacentral:lncRNA from 1 species
UUUUGAAUCAUCUCAUUAGCUUCUGCGGAAUGAAGACGCUCAAACUUAUCAUCUUGGCUGGGCCAUGUAUCAAUUCGACCAGAAGGCUCAGAUGAAGGUGGACUGAUUGCAGGAACUAAAGAUACAUUGGCAUCCAUAAAUUUCUGCACCACCAAAGCAUACAAUAUCUCCUCUAAAGCUUUUUUCCUGUCAUUAGCCUUAACCUCAGCAAUUCUCCUGAUAGUUUAGAAAAGUGACCAUGCAACAAAUUAGACCUCACAGCAGUGAUAAAUACCAUAACAGAAGACAAUAGCUUUUUUGGGGAAGAUGAGUUUCAAAGAAGCCUAGGCUAACCUGUACAAGACAAUGUCAGUACCGGUUGCAGAUGGUUCUUCCUUCUGUUGCUCUGAGUCGCGUUCAGUUUGAAGCUGUUCAAGCUGCUGAUCUACAGCAGCAGGGACAAGAUGUGGGUGACUUGUCAAAAUCUGAGAGAGAAAUUGGCCAAUAGGAGAUUCAAGCUGAAGUGGAGCAAUAGGGGCAGCUGAACCUCCAGACUCCGAGGGUGAUAGAGAUGCCCUGAUCGAGGUACAUUUUCUGCUACCAAAAGCCGCUUUCCUGUUGCUCAACUUCACAUGAGAAAUUGAGGGAUAAAGCUGCCAAUAACAUGUCCAAUAAAUUAGGUGUCAGAGAGCAUUUUCAGAUGCAUAAGGUUCUUAAUUUAUGCCAACUACUUCAUAAACCAAUUUAAAUAGAUAGUUUUGCUCAGAUCACAUCAAGGAAAUCUCUUUAUUAACUGAAUGAAGAUGUUUCAUUGAUAUAUCCAACUGGAUAGAUGGAUUAAAAAUAAAUAACGUAGGAUUACAUAGGUCAAUGCACGUUGAGCCACCUCCCUAAUUGGAAAAAUCAGCAGCAGAAGGAUUCAAACAGAUACAUUUCAUAGUCGCAAUAAUUGCAUAGUCAAGGCAUAAAAUUUGUAAGGUUACCUUAUACGACCAAAACUUAUAUCAAGCACAAAGGGAAAUUUCAGCAACAGCCUAGCACAUAUCCAACAAAUUUAGUAGAGAUAUCCAGGAUCAACAAUUCGACACAAAGUCCAGAAGACAGUAUGAGAUAUACGUUUGGAAAAAAAAAGGAGAAACAAAGAUAAUAGAAGAAUACACCAUUUUUCUUUUUCGGCAAGUCCGUAGACACCAUUUCACUAGACAGAAGGUGAGGAAAGAACCAGAGGUAAGCAGAAACUGCAACAAGACAUCAGCCACACUACACUAAUUCAGAAAGGAAUGGCAAUUGACGCAGAAAAAACUGGGCUACAUCACUCUGUUUCACAAACCUUGGGAUAAUAGUCAAUAAAAGGGAUGUAUGUAAACGUGGAUAUAUCUUAUUUUGGACAAUCUAUAGUUUUAAUAUGCUCUGGUGGCAUUACAUACUACCACCAUUGUUCCAAUAUAACCAGCGGGCAUAGGUAUCCUAAGGCAAGGCAAAAGAAAAUUCUCCGACGAUAAGAAAAAAAUCUAGUGCACUGUAAAAUUGAAGAAAACUUCAUCAAAAGAUGACCAAGCCUGGUCAUAUCUCUAACAAGAAUGCUUGCAUUUUUAGUGUAAGAAAUAACUAUUUAUUUAUAAGGUUUCAGAAACAACAGUUUGCUUAAAGGUCAACCCCCUCCUCGUAUUAAGUCUUAAUAAGCCAAAAAUUGGUAGAUAACCUUAAGCUCUCUAAAAAGCAUAAGGCCGGAUAUAACUUCGUCUCCAAAAUUGGUUGGACUACGCUGAAGGUUUUCCACACCAUCAUCUCCACCAUCUACUCAUAGUAGAGAGAAAGAGGUACUUUUUUCUCCGAUAUUCAGGGGCAUUCUCUUACACGUUUAGUUGUACUUCAGGGGAUCCAAUUAGUAAUUUAUUUGAUAUCCAUAGACACCAAAUACCAUCAUAUGAAGAAGAUAUGUGUAAGCAUCAAUUGAGAAUAUAAACAAGCUCCCAAUUGUAAACCUGACUGCUACGGUAGUGUAAAGAUCUGCAUAUAUAAACAUCGUAUUAUUUGACUACAUACAAAGUUACGCUGCUUUUACCGUUUCGUCCCCUCUUUCGAUUUUAAUUCCAUUCAUUUACCAGGCUUAAACCUUGAGAAAACCAUCUGAUAAGAUGUCGUCAUCCUUUUUGUCAUAUUCAUUCUCUCUCAAUUCCAAAGUUCAUUUACACUGUCUCCUAUCAAAAGUUGACAACAUACAAAGGCGAACUCUGCUAACAGAUGUAUCCAACAUAUUUAUGUACUUAAUCCAUCUUCAAAAUUUACCAAAAAAUUAGUGCCUGUGUUCUACCUCCACCACAAGGAAAAUUCCUGAGCAAACAAAACUUAUAUUCUUUCGACAAGUACAAACAAAACUUAUAUUAUUGCAGAAGAUCUGGGCUUUCGGAAAGCUGAAUAUGCAAAGAGUAAAAAGAAAAAGUCUUUUCCGUAAAUAUUCCAGCUACUAUAUCAUAAGAAACUAAAGCAGAUAAAAAUGAUAAACAGAACUCAAUAAUACCUUGAUCCCAGAAGGAGAAAUCCGAAACUGUGAC